AGCUUUGCACAGUGGCAGUAUCAUAGCCAAUGAGGUUUAUCCAAGGCACAAUUAUUGCUAAUUGAAAACAUUUCCCAAUAUCCUGCCAUGAAGACUUGUAAUAUAGUUGGCAUUAGCAAUUUUUGACAGUCUCUACGGAGA
rnacentral:snRNA from 1 species